UACGUAGGGGGGCAAGCGUUGUCCGGAUUUAUUGGGCGUAAAGAGCGUGUAGGCGGCCAUUCAGGUCAGCUGUGAAAACUCGGAGGCUCAACCUCGAGACGUCGGUUGAAACCGUUUGGCUAGAGUCCGGAAGAGGAGAGUGGAAUUCCCGGUGUAGCGGUGAAAUGCGCAGAUAUCGGGAAGAACACCCGUGCGAAGGCGGCUCUCGUGGGGACG
rnacentral:rRNA from 1 species